AGAGUUUGAUCCUGGCUCAGGACGAACGCUGGCGGCGUGCUUAACACAUGCAAGUCGAACGAAAGGCCCUGCUUUGUGGGGUGCUCGAGUGGCGAACGGGUGAGUAACACGUGAGUAACCUGCCCUUGACUUUGGGAUAACUUCAGGAAACUGGGGCUAAUACCGGAUAGGAGCUCCUGCUGCAUGGUGGGGGUUGGAAAGUUUCGGCGGUUGGGGAUGGACUCGCGGCUUAUCAGCUUGUUGGUGGGGUAGUGGCUUACCAAGGCUUUGACGGGUAGCCGGCCUGAGAGGGUGACCGGCCACAUUGGGACUGAGAUACGGCCCAGACUCCUACGGGAGGCAGCAGUGGGGAAUAUUGCACAAUGGGCGGAAGCCUGACGCAGCAACGCCGCGUGCGGGAUGACGGCCUUCGGGUUGUAAACCGCUUUCGCCUGUGACGAAGCGUGAGUGACGGUAAUGGGUAAAGAAGCACCGGCUAACUACGUG
rnacentral:rRNA from 1 species